UCCUCCAUGUAUAUCUCACUAGGUCAGGGUAUUUAAGCCUCCUCCAUGUAUAUAUCACUAGGUCAGGGGUAUUUAAGCCUCCUCCAUGUAUAUAUCACUAGGUCAGGGGUAUUUAAGCCUCCUCCAUGUAUAUCUCACUAGGUCAGGGGUAUUUAAGCCUCCUCCAUGUAUAUCUCACUAGGUCAGGGUAUUUAAGCCUCCAUGUAUAUCUCACUAGGUCAGGGUAUUUAAGCCUCCAUGUAUAUCUCACUAGGUCAGGGGUAUUUAAGCCUCCAUGUCUAUCUAACUAGGUCAGGGGUAUUUAAGCCUCCUCCAUGUAUAUCUCACUAGGUCAGGGUAUUUAAGCCUCCAUGUAUAUCUCACUAGGUCAGGGGUAUUUAAGCCUCCUCCAUAUAUAUCUCACUAGGUCAGGGUAUUUAAGCCUCCAUGU
ensembl:lncRNA